GAUGAACGCUGGCGGCGUGCCUAAUACAUGCAAGUCGAGCGAACAGAUAAGGAGCUUGCUCCUUUGACGUUAGCGGCGGACGGGUGAGUAACACGUGGGUAACCUACCUAUAAGACUGGGAUAACUUCGGGAAACCGGAGCCAAUACCGGAUAAUAUUUCGAACCGCAUGGUUCGAUAGUGGAGGAUGGUUUUGCUAUCACUUAUAGAUGGACCCGCGCCGUAUUAGCUAGUUGGUAAGGUAACGGCUUACCAAGGCGACGAUACGUAGCCGACCUGAGAGGGUGAUCGGCCACACUGGAACUGAGACACGGUCCAGACUCCUACGGGAGGCAGCAGUAGGGAAUCUUCCGCAAUGGGCGAAAGCCUGACGGAGCAACGCCGCGUGAGUGAUGAAGGUCUUCGGAUCGUAAAACUCUGUUAUUAGGGAAGAACAUACGUGUAAGUAACUGUGCACGUCUUGACGGUACCUAAUCAGAAAGCCACGGCUAACUACGUG
rnacentral:rRNA from 1 species